GAGGGUACAGCUCAGUGGCAGAGUGUGUGCUUAGCAUGCACAAGGUCCUGGGUUCAAUUCCCAGUACCUCCA
rnacentral:tRNA from 1 species